rnacentral:lncRNA from 1 species
GAGUUCGUUUCUUUGCUAGCAUCCUUUACUCUCAAGGAUCGGACAUGACCUCAAAAAUCCCUCUGUCGGUGCCCGGCUCCCCCAAAGGAGCUCACACAGGACUUUCACAUACAUGACAGGGUGCCUAGUCCACAGAGAGCUCACAAGGACUUUCCUAUAUGUACUUGUCCGACUCUCAAAGGACUCACCCAAGACUCAAUGACAGAUAUGGGCUAUUGAAGUCGCCUUGGUCCAAACCUCCUGAAGACAACAUCAAAUAAUGCAAUGCGCCACAUUCGUGAACUAGUGCAAACAGCCUACUACAUAUAAUCAUGAUGCAUGAACAUGCUUUAGGCAUUUGAUUUUGUAUAUAAAAGACUAAGUUUAGUUCUACUCACCUCUGGCCGACGCUGACUGACUCGGCAACAGCUAACACUGAUGGCCUCCUCGAU